rnacentral:rRNA from 1 species
UCGGGAAUAUUGGACAAUGGGCGAAAGCCUGAUCCAGCAACGCCGCGUGCGGGACGAAGGCCCUCGGGUCGUAAACCGCUGUCAGGAGGGAGGAACGGUGCGUGGUUAAGAGCUGCGUACUUUGACAGUACCUCCAGAGGAAGCCCCGGCUAACUCCGUGCCAGCAGCCGCGGUAAUACGGAGGGGGCUAGCGUUGUUCGGAAUUACUGGGCGUAAAGCGCGCGUAGGCGGACUGAUCAGUCAGGGGUGAAAUCCCGGGCUCAACCCCGGACUGCCUUUGAUACUGUCAGUCUUGAGUCCGGAAGAGGCGAGUGGAAUACCGAGUGUAGAGGUGAAAUUCGUAGAUAUUCGGUGGAACACCAGUGGCGAAGGCGACUCGCUGGUCCGGUACUGACGCUGAGGUGCGAAAGCGUGGGGAGCAAAACAGGAUUAGAUACCCUGGUAGUCCACGCCGUAAACGAUGAGUGCUAGUCGUCGGCAGGCAUGCCUGUCGGUGACGCAGCUAACGCAUUAAGCA